UUUGUUUGUUGAAUUUUAUUGCAUCAGCGAUCAUACUUCUCCGGAGGUCUGGAGAAGAAACAGUUAGCAGCUUUAAUGAGCCACAGAAAAUAUAUUUUUCACUGGUAGAUAACAAGUGCACAUUUAAUUUGAAGCCCGCUAAGAGUUAGCUGUAAUGUCAGGCUGACAAAAUGAAGUGAAGUUAAUUUUAAACUGUCACUAGGGGGACCCCUCUUUAUGCACUAGCCUCAGAGUCAAGAAACACAGUCCUUGUUGUGGCACAUAUGGCUCUGUGGGUUAGUGGGACACUGUACUUCUCCUUCAGGCAAGUAUGACAGUACUCCCGAUCAAUGUACUACUGAGCGCACCAACUAGCUCUAUGUCAUCGUGUCAGAGUGCAUGGCCUAGUUCCUCCCAAGUGAGCCAUGACGACUAUCCUGUCAGUGCAGCAGGCGGUCGUAGCCUCAGUGUGACAGGGCAUAGAGCUGCUCGGCACAGCGCUCCAGUCGCUUCUUGUAUUCCAGGUUGCUGUAGUUGCACUUUGGGACCCCCUUGGUGCCGUAGAGGAGACCCCAGCAGCAGCAUGCAAUCACCGCAGUGCUGUCACUGUCACCUGAGCAGGAAGAGAGGAGAAAUAAAAAGAAAAUAAAGAUGUGUGAUGAUGACGCUGAAGAGAGUUUCUGCUUAUAACCUCAGUAGAUCUUUUUGGACUGUCAUGAAGCUUGAGUGAAUACUUUGUAUUCAUGUGGUCACUUCCAGUAAUGAGUCUAUAGACAAUUAUUGCCCAACUGUGUGGUUCUGAGCUUGAGAGCUGGUUUAAUGUUUUUCAGUUAAUUGGUGUUUACUAUCUCAUUGCUCUCCCACUGCUCUGCACUUCUGAACCUCAUUUCAGACAAAGUAAGCAAGCAGCAGGUGAUCACAGCAGAGCAGUCAGCUUUAUUCACAGGAUUUCUUGUCUUUCAUCAAGAUAGACAAAGUAAUUUGAUGUGUACAAAUAUGUUACCCUACUAACUAGCGUUUGUUGCUACCGUAUCACACAUUUAGGGCAUACAGGCAUAAUUAUGGUUUCUAUAAUAAGUUUUUUUCCUAAAAAACAAUCUCAAUAUUUUCAGCAGUACAUGAUAUCUGCUACAUAUCUACCUUGGUUUGUGCCUUGCAGUUAAACCAACUAGUUUUUAAGUCGAACUUGAGUUAAAGAAGUUCAGAGAUUACUGAGCUAUACAAGUAGGGUAUGCUAGGACCAAAGACCAAGCUUGAUAGUCAGGUUCAGGAAAAACCUGACAAUACUUUGAUGUUUAAUCUUAUAAGGGUUUGAUUAAACUAUGGUAAAGUUAAUCUCCCCCCAAGCUUUAAAAACAACCCCAAACUUUUCUUUUUGUGUGAUUCUCUGACCUCCAUGGAAAGCUGCUCUGCUCAUUAGCUCCUCCCAGUCUGAGCCUGCACCCAGCAAGGCAUCCAGGGCUAUCAUGGGAGAAUCAUGGCCACUGUCCCCAGCCCACCCAUACAGGCUGAAGCUCUUGUAAACUUCAUCUCUCUCAGCUGGGCCGUAGGCAGAAGGCCAGAUCGCAGGGCCAACCCCGUUAGAGAUGCCCCUCAUGUCCAGGUACCUGUGGAUGAAGGUAGGAAGGAGAUUCUCUAGAUGUUGGCAUACAGUGCUCCAAAAUGUGUAUAUUUAUUCAGCGUUAUCUGUUUUUCUUAACACUUCAUACAGUAUAGUAGAGGCUGACUUGUACCAUUGCCACUUCUCAGUGAAGUAUCCCCAGUCUCUCUCUGUCUCCUCCACAGCGUAGCCUUGACCCUGGAUGAAACUCUUUGCUAUUGGACAGGCCUCGUUGAUCAGGCCGAGCCCCCACGUUGUGAUCGGCCUGUGCUGGACAGCGUACGCAGUGAAAAGGGCUGACGCUACUCCACCCAGAAAACCUGUGGGGUGAGGGUGGGUCAUCCUGCCUGUUUCCACAGCAACUGCCACUAAUGACUCGAGCUGGUCAGGCUUUGGGUACCUGGUGAGGACAAACAUUGGACGUCCAUAUUAACAUUGAGUCUCUAUCCAUUAAACUAACAGAGUCAAUCACAGGGUUGAGCAGAAUUUAUUCUGUAUUCUGUAUUAGCUCUAUGUUAAACAAAAAUAUAAAUAUUAGGAGUAAUGACUUCUUUUCAUGCUUUAAUUGAAUCUACAUACCCUUUUUACUGGCUGUCAGUCUCUAUUAUUUAUCUAUUUGUCAUUUUCUACUUAACGCAAAAAUGAAUGUAUUUCACUAUGCAUUUGCUUUUAAUUAUUUUGGCUAAUCUGAGCGGCAGGAACAUGCCUCAUGUUAAUUUAAAUCGAAAUGUUUAUAGUCAUUUCUUUUUUUUUGACCACACCACAAACCACUGUCCAUUUUAUACAAGAAAAAAAAACAUAAUCCUAAGUGACAUUAAAGAGGACGUGUCAUGACAUUUUAGGACAUGUCAAAUCCAUCCAAAUUCAAAGCCCAACAAUAUUUUUAUAUAGUAUGCAUAGAUGUUUGUAAAAUGUGAAUAUCAAUCACUAGGACAUAAAUCACAACUACUUUGUUACUCUUUUUUUCCUUAUUUUAUAAACCUAGAGUAAAAAUGUAGGAUUUAAACCUGGCUUAAUUCUUUCAUACCUCUGGAACACGAGGAAAGUGUGUUUAUUUUUUUAGGAUCUGAGUCUUACCUGAGACCUAUACACAUGGACCUCAUGGCGGCUCCACAGCCUGUCCCCCUAGGGUUAUAGCGCACUCUGUAGCCUCCCUCCUCACCAGGCCUCAGCUGAGAGACUCCUAAAGAUGGGAGGAAA